rnacentral:rRNA from 1 species
CCUACGGGUGGCUGCAGCAAGGAAUUUUCGGCAAUGGGCGCAAGCCUGACCGAGCAACGCCGCGUGCCGGAUGACGGCCUUCGGGUUGUAAACGGCUUCUCGGGGGGACGAUGAUGACGGUACCCCCGGAAUAAGCCCCGGCUAACUCUGUGCCAGCAGCCGCGGUAAGACAGAGGGGGCAAGCGUUGUCCGGACUUACUGGGCGUAAAGCGUCCGCAGGCGGCAGGGCAAGUGGCGGCUGAAAGCGCCCGGCUUAACCGGGCGAGGCGUCGCCA